CCUACGGGUGACAGCAGUCGAGAAUCAUUCACAAUGGGGGAAACCCUGAUGCUGCGACGCCGCGUGGGGGAAUGAAGGUCUUCGGAUUGUAAACCCCUGUCAUGUGGGAGCAAAUUAAAAAGAUAGUACCACAAGAGGAAGAGACGGCUAACUCUGUGCCAGCAGCCGCGGUAAUACAGAGGUCUCAAGCGUUGUUCGGAAUCACUGGGCGUAAGGCGUGCGUAGGCUGUUUCGUAAGUCGUGUGUGAAAGGCGCGGGCUCAACCCGCGGACGGAACAUGAUACUGCGAGACUAGAGUAAUGGAGGGGGAACCGGAAUUCUCGGUGUAGCAGUGAAAUGCGUAGAUAUCGAGAGGAACACUCGUGGCGAAGGCGGGUUCCUGGACAUUAACUGACGCUGAGGCACGAAGGCCAGGGGAGCGAAAGGGAUUAGAUACCCCAGUAGUC
rnacentral:rRNA from 1 species